UAAAACUAUAUAUAAAAGUAACAUGUUCUUUGUAAAAUUUUAAACAACUCCAAUUCAUUUAUAGUGUCGAAGAUGAAGAAACUUUUUCAAGUCUUCUUGACCGUACUAACUAUCUACAUCCUUCUUGUGCAAGUAAUAGGAGCGUCACCAAAUGACACAACAUAUUCAAAUAAAAAAUUGACAUGCUCGCUCGAAAAAUGUAAUACUAUGUGUACCAAAACGUGGAAAGGAUCAGUCGGUCUUUGCGAGAAAGUAAGCGCAAAAGGAGACAUGAAGUGCUACUGCAUAUAUAAGACCAAUGCCUGAGAAAUAUGUUAUAUAGGAAUAACUGUGGUUAAAUAUAUUAUUAUUUAAAAUAAAACUCAAAUAGUAAUGCAUUAUAAUAAAAAGAUCCAUGCUGAUGCUAGUGUGAGUGUCGUUAACAAAUUAUAAGUGUAACGUCUCCAUCAUUUUUAAAGCCGAAAUCGGACUUCAUAUGUU